UACAGAGGGUGCGAGCGUUGUUCGGAAUUAUUGGGCGUAAAGGGCGCGUAGGCGGUGCGGUAAGUCACCCGUGAAAUCUCCUGGCUCAACUGGGAGCUUGCAGGCGAAACUGCCGUGCUGGAGUGUGGGAGAGGCGCGUGGAACUCCUGGUGUAGCGGUGAAAUGCGUAGAUAUCAGGAGGAACACCUGUGGCGAAAGCGGCGCACUGGACCACAACUGACGCUGAGGCGCGAAAGCUAGGGGAGCAAACAGG
rnacentral:rRNA from 1 species